rnacentral:lncRNA from 1 species
UUUUCCAGGAAUCUUGUCCUGGAAAAUGAUGGCGUCUGGCUUGGUGCGCACCUGUUGAGUGAUGAUGGACUUGCAAUGAGGAACCCAUGUGAUGCUCAGAAUCGACGCCUGCAGACUGCAGGGUAGUGAAUGCCUGAAUGGUGAUCAAGGCAUAGAGGCACUGAUGAGUGAUGACUGAUCAGCUUACUGAAACAGUGAACAAGUUUUUUUUUGAGGGCACCCCGUCAGUCAGAAAGGUUAAGGCGCCAGACCGAGCCUGACAUGACACGUCAGCCAACAUGUCCUGACAAGAGC